rnacentral:rRNA from 1 species
GACGAACGCUGGCGGCGUGCCUAAUACAUGCAAGUAGAACGCUGAAGGAGGAGCUUGCUUCUCUGGAUGAGUUGCGAACGGGUGAGUAACGCGUAGGUAACCUGCCUGGUAGCGGGGGAUAACUAUUGGAAACGAUAGCUAAUACCGCAUAAUAGUAGAUGUUGCAUGACAUUUGCUUAAAAGUUGCAAUUGCAUCACUACCAGAUGGACCUGCGUUGUAUUAGCUAGUUGGUGAGGUAACGGCUCACCAAGGCGACGAUACAUAGCCGACCUGAGAGGGUGAUCGGCCACACUGGGACGGAGACACGGCCCAGACGGCUACGGGAGGCAGCAGUAGGGAAUCUUCGGCAAUGGACGGAAGUCUGACCGAGCAACGCCGCGUGAGUGAAGAAGGUUGUCGGAUCGUAAAGCUCUGUUGUAAGAGAAGAACGAGGGUGAGAGUGGAAAGUUCACACUGUGACGGUAACUGACCAGAAAGGGACGGCUAACUACGUG